UGCCAGACUCCUACGGGAGGCAGCAGUAGGGAAUCUUUCACAAUGGGCGAAAGCCUGAUGGAGCAACGCCGCGUGCAGGAUGAAGGCCUUCGGGUUGUAAACUGCUUUUAUAAGCGAGAAAUAUGAUGGUAACUUAUGAAUAAGGAUCGGCUAACUACGUGCCAGCAGCCGCGGUCAUACGUAGGAUCCGGGCAUUAUCCGGAGUGACUGGGUGUAAAGGGGGCGCAGACGGCGAUGCAAGCCAGGAGUGAAAGCCCAGGGCCCAACCCCGGGACUGCUCUUGGAACUGCGUGGCUGGAGUGCAGGAGGGGCAGGCGGAAUUCCUGGUGUAGCGGUGAAAUGCGUAGAUAUCAGGAGGAACACCGGUGGCGAAGGCGGCCUGCUGGACUGCAACUGACGUUGAGGCCCGAAAGCGUGGGGAGCAAACAGGAUUAGAUACCCCGGUAC
rnacentral:rRNA from 1 species